rnacentral:rRNA from 1 species
GUAUUGCAGUUAAAAAGCUCGUAGUUGGAUUUCUGUCCGGAGAGACCGGUCGGCGCCCUUUGGGCGUUGUGCACUGUUGUCUGCUCCGGACAUCCUUGCGGAGAAUGCGUGUGCCCUUAAUUGGGUGUGCGUAGGAUCCGCAACGUUUACUGUGAAAAAAUUAGAGUGUUUAAAGCAGGCGAUCGCUGUGAAUACAUUAGCAUGGAAUAAUGAGAUAGGACUUUGGUACUAUUUUGUUGGUUUGCGCACCAAGGUAAUGAUUAAUAGGGAUAGUUGGGGUAUUCAUAUUCAAUUGUCAGAGGUGAAAUUCUUGGAUUUAUGGAAGAUGAACUUAUGCGAAAGCAUUUACCAAGGAUGUUUUCAUUAAUCAAGAACGAAAGUUAGGGGAUCGAAGAUGAUUAGAUACCAUCGUAGUCUUAACCAUAAACUAUGCCGACUCGGGAUUGGGCGUCGUUGCUUUAAUGACUCGCUC